rnacentral:lncRNA from 1 species
UCUGGCUUGAACAGAGGGUGUGUGUUCACAGGUGCCAUGGAGUGACCAUCUUUGGCACUGCAGGCCAGAACAGCAGAAGUCAGUCUGCAGAGAGAGAGAAAUGAAACCAGGUGGAUAAGCAGAGAGGCGCCAAAGGGGUGAGCUGCCUGUGGUCCCAGCUCUCCAGAUGCCAUUUCUGGAUCCAACCUCACUUCCUGCCUGUGGUUUCUGAGAGGUUUCCUCAUAUCCUUUCAACUCAGUGCCUUCCUUUUUGCUUAUUUAUUGGGUUUCUAUUACAUGCAUCCAGAAGAACGUCCGCGAAGGCCAUGACUCACAGUUUACGGAGCGCCUUCACAUAGGAAGAUUUUCCGUGAGAUAACAUCCACUGCCAAUCCUCCUCUUUUCGUUUGUGAGCCGCUGCCACAGCAUGGCCAUUGACAGAUGAGUGGGACUGAAGAUCAUUCUGAAUAGAGAAAAGGGCCACAGGAGCUUGGCGUUCUGUCAUACUCUCUUCAGCGCUUUGUAUCACAGGCUGAGGAGCUUGAACUCGAUCUGGGUGCCUGUGAGGAUGGAGAUGAUGAAUUUAAAGUGCCUGGCUCCACAGAGGAUGUGUUCAUGGCCAUCUUGAGGAGUGUGAGGUGUGGAGCCUUAACUCUUGAGUGUGGAGUCCUGCACAGACUGAUCAGAGCCUUGGGCCUCCCAAUGCCAGGACUGAGACGCAUACAUGGCAACAAGAGUUCCAGUUACAUUUUCCCCAUGGCCAAAGAAGCCAAGUGAUUCUUGCUGACAGGCUGAAACCCCCUGGGCACGUUCCAGCUUAGUCUCAGAGAAUCCCUGAGGAACUGCUAUGGCUCAGUGAACCUGUCCUGGGUGAGCAGUGUUUCGUGCGGGUGUUGAAUAGAUGUUAAUGAUCAUAGAAUGUAAGCUCCAUGAAGGCAGAGACAUCGACCUUGGUCAUCUCUGCAUCCCCAGCACUUGGUGCAUAGUAAGUGCUCAAUAAAUAUUUGCUAAAUGAACA